GUCUAUCUGUAUAAACAUGGUUCUAAAAUGAGCUGAGAACAGCAGAAGUUUAUCAGUUCUGGACCUAUGGAGUGAGUCUAUCUAUGUCUGCAUCAUGGCUCCACAUGGAAAAGAACUGAACAGAGGAAGAGAAGAAUCUGACAGAAAGACUCGACAAAGGUGGAAAAAAAAUCCAAGAAUAUCAACGAAAAACCAAAAAGCACAGUCAGCAGUAAUCAGGAGGUCUAGAAGGAGUCAUAGUUCCACUAAUCAGGAGGUCUAGAAGGAGUCAUAGUACCACUAAUCAGGAGGUCUAGAAGGAGUCAUAGUACCACUAAUCAGGAGGUCUAGAAGGAGUCAUAGUACCACUAAUCAGGAGGUCUAGAAGGAGUCAUAGUUCCACUAAUCAGGAGGUCUAGAAGGAGUCAUAGUACCACUAAUCAGGAGGUCUAGAAGGAGUCAUAGUACCACUAAUCAGGAGGUCUAGAAGGAGUCAUAGUUCCACUAAUCAGGAGGUCUAGAAGGAGUCAUAGUUCCACUAAUCAGGAGGUCUAGAAGGAGUCAUAGUUCCACUAAUCAGGAGGUCUAGAAGGAGUCAUAGUUCCACUAAUCAGAGCUCCUAAAAUGACUCCACAGACGGUGAACUACUUCCUCCAUCCAGCUGUAAAAACAGACAUCAGCUGCUUCAGACUUGGCUCAGGGGUUCUCCAUGGAAACCAGAGUUAGUGUGAAGCUCAGACAGUGUGAAGGAACUUUCAGAACAUCAACCUCUAUGGACGGAGGAUCAGAACUAAAGCUGGCUGCUGCUCAGAGCUAAACUUCCAGAUGAAAGUUUGCUGAGGAACAUGAGAAGAAGCCCAAUGGAUGUUGGAGAACAUUCUUUGGUCAGAUGGAGAUAAAUGAGUUCA